CGGCUGGCCAGGUAUCAACAUAGUCAGUCAGUGCACUUGUUGGUGAUACGUCGAUUCAACCUGAAGGUAGCGAGAGAUCACUUGUUUUGUGACCGUAUUGCAGGUUAUUAUUCCAACCUUGCUCUAACGUUAAGUCAACUACACAAGGUCUCGGUGAGCAGGUGUGUUUUGAGCAAGGCUGGAACAAAAACCUGCACACCAGUUCUCCAAGGGUUAGGGUUGGACAUCCUGGCAUCUGCUCCAAUAUACCGAGGGUGGCGUGAUUCAUUAUAACCAGGUCCCUGUGUUUUGGUUAAUUCAUUAUAACCAGGUCCCUGUGUUUUGGUUAAUUCAUUAUAACCAGGACCCUGUGUUUUGGUUCAUUCAUUAUAACUAGGUCCCUGUGUUUUGGUUGAUUCAUUAUAACCAGGACCCUGUGUUUUGGUUCAUUCAUUAUAACUAGGUCCCUGUGUUUUGGUUGAUUCAUUAUAUCUAG
ensembl:lncRNA